CAUCUCCCUUCGCUGCCCUUCUUCACGCGGAACCCCGCGAGCAGGAGCGGCCAGACUGGGGAGCCGGGGCCUUCUCUGGAGCAAACGGAGGCAGAAAAGAGCCGGUUAUAAUAACGCGAGGAAACAAUCCCACGAGAUUUCACCGCAGGGGGAGACUUUGGGUUCUUGUUUUUAUUGAAAGACAAUUGUCCCCCCCCAGCAGUCGCGGGUGCGUGGCCGGACAGACUGACGUGUGAGCCGGAGAGCCAGGAGGAGGAAGAGUGACAAGCGGUGCCAUGCCCUGGACCGGCGGCAGGGUGGGGCUGGGUUUGGUGACGCCAGCCAGGCCUGGGUCGGAGAGCAGCGGAGCUCCGAGAUACAACGAGACUGACCAUUCGCCCCAGCUCCGCCCGCCCCAUUAGCACGUCCGGGCCGCGGCAAUGAAGCGGGCUGGAAGCAGCCAAGGAGGAGGGCUCUGCUCCUGUCUCCAGCCUUCCCUUGUUCAGGAGGAUCUCCAGCGCGAACCGCAUAUGAGCAGGGUCCAGCGAAGCACCAGGAUGGGAUGAUCUUGACUUGCCCUGGUUCUCUGUGGCAAGGAAAUAAAAGCGCCCCGCUUCUCCUA